rnacentral:lncRNA from 1 species
AUGAUAAAUACCUCAGUGCACAUGGACUAUCGCUUCAGUUCCCUCAAGAAUUUUGUGGUGAAAGAAGCUCCUCUCCAAGGAACGAAGAUGCAGAGAAUCAACACUCAACAGGCAUUGGAAAUGAUCCUGAAUGAAGCAAACCCUUGCGACUCGGAUGGAGAAGACAUCAACCUUCAGAUGGAUUCAGACUCCGAGCUGUCUCAGUCGUCUUCAGAUGAGGAGACUGCUCCCCAACCAAAAAAGAGAGCACGGCUGGGGACUGAUGUGACAGAGACUGCGAAAGACGGCACAGUAUGGCAUGAAGAACAGGUGGGAACGGGUCCACAUUUCACCCCGCCAUCGCCAUACAACGCAGAUGGAGAGCCAACAGCUAAGGCCAGGAGGUCAAUCACAAGUCGUCUUCAGAGCUUCCUGUGUUUCAUCACUCUGGACAUGCUUGGUAUCAUUCAAGACUGUACAGUUCAACAUGCAAAGCAAACGGAGCAUGUGGAUUGGUUCAUGGGCCUCCCUGAACUAAUGCCAUUUAUUUCCAUCACCAUCAUGCGGGCAAUCUUCAGGGUGCCAUCACUGCGUGACUGCUGGUCGAAAAACCUGGGAAGCCCACAGAUCAUCGAAACCAUGUCCCGAGGGCGUUUUCCAAAACAUCAUGCAUCACCUGCGCUUUGAUGACAGAGACACCCGCAGCGAGCGAGCACAGACCGAUAAGUUUGCUGCAAUUUCGAACAUAUGGGGAUUGUUUGUCACCAACUGCAUCACAUCCUACAUCCCUGGUCAACACAUCACCAUCGACGAACAACUUUUCCCGUCCAAGACUCGCUGCUGUUUCCUACAGUACACUGCAUCUAAACCAGACAAGUUUGGGAUCAAGUUUUGGGUGGCGUGUGACUUGAAAAACAAAUACGUCUGCAAUAUCCUCCCAUAUCUUGGCAAGGACCCCACUCGGCCUCGUGGGGAGAGAGUGUCUGAGAGUGUAGUCAUGAGGCUGAUGGAACCAUUCCUGGACAAGGGCAGAAAUGUUACCACGGACAAUUUCUUUACAUCACUGUCACUUGCAAAACGACUACUUAGCCGGAAUACAACCAUCCUUGGCACAGUCAACAAGAUUCGCUAAGAAAUUCCACUGUCAACUAGACAGAUGCACUGCAAUGAAUUUACCACCCAAGUAUUUUCAACCACUGGUGCCACACUGACGGUGUAUGCGCCCAAGCGGAAGAAGACUGUAUAUGUUCUCAGCAGCAUGCACAGCAUGAUUCAGACACAGGAUACCACCAAAAAGAAGCCAAACACCAUCACACUCUACAACACAACAAAGUGCGGCGUCGAUGUCAUGGACCAGACGGUGCGAGAGUACACUGUCCGCGCAGGAACACGGUGCUGGCCAGUAGCAGUGUUCUAUAACAUGAUAGAUAUGGCAGCACUGAAUGCACACGUGCUCUAUCAAUUAUGCACUGGGAGGCAGGAGAGACGGGUGGAUUUCCUGCUGGAGCUUGCAAGAGAGUUGGCUCAAACCCACGUGGGUAUGAAAAAGGCCCAAAAGGAACAAUUAUUUCGGCAACAACCCUCCACACCACAACUAGGAAAAAGAGCAAAGUGUCAGGCUAAAAUUAAAUGUAAGGACAAUCAUGCAACAGUGCGCUGUGUUGACUGCUACCGAUAUACAUGUGGGAAAUGCCGAAAGGAGCAAUGGCAGUGCCAGGAUUGUGAGUGACUGCUCAAAUGUAUUUCACUCAUAAUGCAUGGUUUUUCAUUCUUUGUAAAUAUGCUUGGGUUUCUUUUUUUUUUACUAAGCCUAAGCCUAACUUUAUACUUUUUUUAGCACAAAAAUAACAAUUAUUUCUGCAACAACCCUCCACACCAAAACUGGGAAAAAGUUGUUUCAUUCUUUGUAAAUAUGUUUUGUUUUUUUAACAAUAAAUGUCAGUGUGUUGAUCCCUUCCUUCCUGUUGAUCCUUUCCACUGCAUACAGCUCAUAGUCCAGUUUAAGUCUUGAUGGCUAUGUUCACUGAGGUAUUUAUCCAUCUCACAACUUAAGCUUGCUCUCAAA